rnacentral:rRNA from 1 species
GACGAACGCUGGCGGCGUGCUUAACACAUGCAAGUCGAACGGAAAGGCCCUGCUUUUGUGGGGUGCUCGAGUGGCGAACGGGUGAGUAACACGUGAGUAACCUGCCCUUGACUUUGGGAUAACUUCAGGAAACUGGGGCUAAUACCGGAUAGGAGCUCCUGCUGCAUGGUGGGGGUUGGAAAGUUUCGGCGGUUGGGGAUGGACUCGCGGCUUAUCAGCUUGUUGGUGGGGUAGUGGCUUACCAAGGCUUUGACGGGUAGCCGGCCUGAGAGGGUGACCGGCCACAUGAGGACUGAGAUACGGCCCAGACUCCUACGGGAGGCAACAGUGGGGAGUAUUGCACAAUGGGCGGAAGCCUGAUGCAGCAACGCCGCGUGCGUGAUGACGGCCUUCGGGUUGUAAACCGCUUUCGCCUGUGACGAAGCGUGAGUGACGGUAAUGGGUAAAUAAGCACCGGCUAACUACGUA